UGGGGUGUGGCUCCGUGGUAGAGUGCUUGCCUCACAUGUGUGAGGCACUGGGUUCAAUUCUCAGCACCACAU
rnacentral:tRNA from 1 species